rnacentral:rRNA from 1 species
UCGCCUGUUUAUCAAAAACAUGGCUCCUUGAUAACAUAAGGAGUCGUGCCUUCCCGGUGAGUUUAAACUUAAACGGAUGCGGUAAAGCGUGCUAAGGUAGCUAAGUUAUGGCCUAGUUAAUUGUAGGCCCUGUGAAUGGUUUGACGAGUUUUCUUCUGUCUCUAGCUUGUUUAAGUGAACUUGAAUUGGAUGUGCAAAUGCUUCCUUGGUAAAGAAAGACGAGAAGACCCCGUGAAGUUAGAAAUUAAUGUGCAGAAUAGUGGGAGGCUACUUUUUCUGCCUUAUGGUUUUGGCUGGGGCAGCAAGGGGGCAAAAGUAGACCCCUUAAAAUUUAAUUCUGGUGAGUAAUGACCCAUAAGGUUUAAGGGUAUGAUUAGUAGAAGAAGUUACUCCGGGGAUAACAGCGUAAUCCGCCUUGACAGUCCUUAUAGAUGGGUGGGUUUGCGACCUCGAUGUUGGCUCUGGAUGUCCUGAAGCUGUAGGCGGUUUCAAGGGUUGGUUCGUUCGCCCAUUAAAAUCCAACGUGAUCUGAGUUCAGACCGGA